CCGCCCGUGAUGGUGUACCAGUAACCCAAUUGGCUUCUGACGGAAAAGGGGCGGUGUACGAGAAACGGUAUAAUUACCCAGGGAGGGGGCACAGUCCUUCUUUUCGCUGCAAGUCGGAGGAUCUACUUGCGCGGGUAUGAAGAUGGUCAGGAAUGAGAACGGGACUGGAUCUACAGACAUCAUCCGAGGCUGAGAUGCAGAUGUUGCCUUUAAAUAAAAGUUGACUAAAACCA